rnacentral:rRNA from 1 species
AACGUAGGAGACAAACGUUAUCCGGAGUUACUGGGCGUAAAGGGCGUGUAGGCGGUUCGUUAAGUCUGGCGUGAAAGCUCUCGGCUAAACCGGGAGAGGUCGUUGGAUACUGGCAAACUAGAGGACGGUAGAGGCGUGUGGAAUUCCGGGUGUAGUGGUGAAAUGCGUAGAGAUCCGGAGGAACACCAGUGGCGAAGGCGGCCACCUGGGCCGACCCUGACGCUGAGGCGCGAAGGCGUGGGGAGCGAACGGG